rnacentral:lncRNA from 1 species
AUUUAAAACUUAACAUAAAUUUAUAAAAGAUUUUCAUUAAAACAAAUAAGUUAAAACAAAGUUUACUAUUUAGAUCAAUUGAUCACAUAUCACACUUAAAUAUAGAUAGCUGUUUGGAAUAAAUAAUUGAAACAUCAUUGUAUUUUAUUCACCAGCGUCAGGCCUCGAAAGAACAAGUGUCCGAGAUGAUGGACACGACAGAAGAAGGCAUAACAUAGAACUGAACAUGAGCGAGCUAGUAUUCCUCAGAUCACGUCCCAGGCCUCAUUUAGAUUCCUAAUCCCAGAAUACAAUAUAAGCGAGAAAAGUCUAUAAUGAAAGAUGCCAGUUCCUUAAUAUUCAAGUUUAUUAACGUUUUGGAGGGAAAGGGGAGACAACCUGACAGAGCAGC